rnacentral:rRNA from 1 species
UACGAAGGGGGCGAGCGUUGUUCGGAAUUACUGGGCGUAAAGGGCGCGCAGGCGGCUCUGAAAGUCAGAUGUGAAAGCCCCGGGCUCAACCUGGGAAUUGCAUUCGAGACUGCGUAGCUAGGGUGCGGAAGAGGGAAGCGGAAUUUCCGGUGUAGCGGUGAAAUGCGUAGAUAUCGGAAGGAACACCAGUGGCGAAAGCGGCUUCCUGGUCCAGCACCGACGUUCAGGCACGAAAGCGUGGGGAGCAAACAGG